rnacentral:misc_RNA from 1 species
ACGACCGUCAAGCCUGGCUUGGUGUUUGGACGUCGGUCGUUUUGAGACCGCGUCCCAAAGACAAUGGCGGUGUCGAUUCAGUCCUCGGUGCAACGAGCUCCACGAGCACGCACCGCACGGGCUAUCGGCGCCCGCCUGGACCCCUUAUUUUCUCA